NUUAGGGUCUAAUUGCUUAGGGUUCAGGUGGAAUCUGCGGGCUAAAUCCUACAGGGCCAAUCUGAAUUUCACAAUCAUUCUGUCAAAAGGAGAGCGAUGAGAGCCCACACGCUUCCUAACAAGUCAUUUUUAACAGUUACAAGCUUCGCACAAAGACCACACAGGGCGUCUAAGAGAUGCAAAUCUAAUCCCUGGUCAUUCUACAGGCCUUCAACAAAGAUGUGCUAAACCCUAAUAGAAAAGAAAUCAGUUCUCUGUCACCAGCCCCUGGUAAAAUCUAUUAGAGAAUGGACAGAGCCGCAUCUACAGCAGUUGCUGCAAAGGUUAAGGACAAGUACAAAUAAGAGGGACCCAGUUUUGUUUUCCGUGUGAAAUAUCGGUAGAAGCUAACCCCAAAUGAGUGACGGGAUUCGAUUCGUGGCUUCGCAUUCAUUUGAAUGCUAGAAAAUAAUAAUAAUAAACACAUACGCUUUAAGACUUUUGAAGACUCCAUUUCUGAAUUUUAGGAGAUGAAACAAAUCCCUGCCCCCACCCAAAAUUGGACGUUUUUGCCUCAGAAAUUAUCGAAGAAUAUUAACGGAGGAGAGAGGGAGAGCGCGCAGGUCCAGGAGCGAGGACCUGGGAGUCUGGAGCCGGCUGGCAGGCCUUUGCUCGCAUGCGGUGCCUCUUCAUUCGCAGAAAAAAAUCCGACGGCGGAGCCGCAGUGGGGCCGGGGUCCGGGAUGCGCCACGCCUCCGGCCGCUGGGGCCGAGCAGUGGCCGCUGACCGCGGGAAGACUGGGCGGCCGCGCUCGGCCUGGGUCCCUCUCCUCGGUCCCUCUCGAGGGCUGGGGGAGGGAAGGGACGGAGCGGCCUGGUGCCUCACAGGCCAGGAAGCAUAUCAAAUGUGCCCUUCUGCGGUCACCGAACACAUGAGGUCCUCACAAACAGUGUCAUCACGCUGAUGUAUUAAAAGAGUUAAUACAUUUCAGCUCAAAUGUAUCACACUGUGCUCGAGACCCUUAAAAAAGGGAGGGCCCCGGGGAAUCCAGGGCCCCGGGAGAAGCCCGCAAGCCGG
rnacentral:lncRNA from 1 species